rnacentral:rRNA from 1 species
GACGAACGCUGGCGGCGUGCCUAAUACAUGCAAGUAGGACGCAGUUGCGAACGGGUGAGUAACGCGAAGGUAACUACCUAUUAGAGGGGGAUAACUAUUGGAAACGAUAGCUAAUACCGCAUACUAGUAGAUUGACCUGCGUUGUAUUAGCUAGUAGGUAGGGUAAUGGCCUACCUAGGCAACGAUACAAAGCCGACCGGGGGGGGUGAUCGGGCACACUGGGACCGGGAAAAGGCCCAGGCCCCUACGGGAGGCAGCAGGAGGGAAUCUUCGGGAAUGGGGGGAACCCUGACCGGGCAACGCCGCGUGGGUGAAGAAGGUUUUCGGAGCGUAAAGCUCUGUUGUUAAGGAAGCGGUACUUAACCAGAAAGGGACGGCUAACUACGUGCCAGCAGCCGCGGUAAUUC